UGCGCGGUGGUGUAAUGGUAACACGCUUGGCUCUGGCCCAAGUAUUCAUCGUUCGAGUCGAUGCCGCGCAG
rnacentral:tRNA from 1 species